AGUGGUUACAAGCAGCAGAGCUGCUUUCAGCUGCCUGAGGUAACUGUCUGUAAAGUGCAAGGCCACGUACAAAAGAAAAGGGAUGAAGAAAUGGAAGAAACAUUAUCCAAGGUUGAAGAAAUGUAUUCUUCAGUUUCCCGGUUAACAGGCUCUCCGGAGCGUGACUCAUAAACCCUUGCAGCUCAAACAGCAUUGCAGAAUGAGCUACCAGCAACCUCUUUGUCCUUCACGUGAUGUUACUGAAUCAGCUCAAGAUAAUUCAUACCUUGGAGCAGCCUCACAUUGCAAGAAGGAGCGUUAUUUCUCAACAUAGAACAAACAGAAGACAGAAUUAACUCCAUCUUAUAGCUGCAUUACCACCCUGCUAUUCACUUCCUGACUUCAGCUCAAGUGCCUACAGGCCCUGUCCUGCUAAGCUCUGUACAAGGCCUGACAUUUGACACCCAAGACCCCAGGACUUACACAGAGGCACAAGCGGAGGCCCUGGGGAAGAGGAGAUGCAGCUUGAUGUGAACUGCCCUGGGCUGGUGCGUGCGUGUGAGUGCCAGCUGCUCAUGUUUAGCAUCGAAUCCUUGUGCGAUCACAAGCAACUUAAUCAGCUUUGCAUCUAAAGGGGUUACCAUCACUGAUGACCGACAGACAUCUUUCCACUGGUUUCAGUGUAUUAAAAGUCCAAUUGAAAGUGGCAGGAUGGCUGGGAGAGGAUGAGGGAUAGGAGCUGCAGUGUGAUUCUACUCCACAAAGGCAUCCCAUGAGAAGUGAGCUGUGGGGAAAUGAACCUGGUCUAAUAGCAAGUUGACCUAUGGACUCUGCCAAAAAAAAUCUUCCAUGUGAACUUGAGUUUGCAAGGCCCUUUUUUCUUUCCCAAAAACUCCGCAUUCUGAAAAAGGACAUCUGUGACAAGAUGGAACUUGGCACCAGUAACUUAUGUACUAUGGGUGAAGCAUGCUCAGAAGAGGCAGACCCAGAAGUAAUUUUUCAUCAAAUAACUUUUUAAAGCCAUUAUUAAAACUAGCAUACAUUUCCUCUGCUGCUGGCAGCUUCAAUGGACAGGACAGGAUUGAUUUGGGUAGUCCUGCAUCUUGUAAAUGGCUCUGGGUGAAUCCGGAGAAUUGCAUGUGAUUUGUCAGAGUCUUCACAACCUUUGAAGGGUGACUGACUAAGAGCUGUGGUUUGAGAUUGCUGCUUGAGUCAUAGCGAACACAUUUUAAAGAGAUCCUGGCAGGGACACAGGCUGGUCAAGAUAGCCUGGAUGAUACUGAAGUGGUUGGAAGUGGAUCUGGAUGGAUUGAACUCAUGGCUCACUCAGAAUCAAAAUCAUAAAAGCAUGGCAUGGUUUCAGUUGGAAAGGACCCUUAAAGGCCAUCUAGUCCAACUCAUCUGCAAUGAACAGGGACAUCUACAGCUUGAUCAGAGUGCUCAGAGGAGGGAAAGGACAAUAAAAGUAUUUGUACACAAAAAUACUCUGAGCCACAGAGGCGUUUUUAAGAUAAAUGGUAAAACUGAACUGGAAAUCCAUCUGGCCAGCUGCCUGAUCUAAUGAAUAACCCCACUUUGGCUCCUGCAAUGUAAGCAGAAAGAGUUCUCUCCCGGCCGCUUUCGUCUGUCAUGAAUCUACAAGACAGCCGACAUAAUAUCUGGGCGACAACAGCGUGCUAACAGUGCAGUGACUUCCAUUUUCUUUGCUUUCUAUUGAUUUUCACUUAAUAACUGGCGAAAUACUAAACGUCCGCCCUGAGUACCUAAUAAAUCCUGCCUGAGCUUUUUAUUGAGGAGAAUUUAAUAAAAACAACCAUUGUGGCUGAGGGAUUUUUCUUCUGGACAG